UAUCAGUGUACAGUUUAUCGACUACGAGAGCUACACAUUUCCCUUUUAGUCUAUUCACUUUGAAGAAUGGGUACAGAACUUUGCUCCAUUCUGCAAGUUCCUUCGGGAACUGAUCAUUCAUGCCUAUUUUCGUCCAAUCAAGUCUUUGGCCCAAGCUUUUAACCAUUAUUUUAUGCUUAAAGAAUGCACAUUUGGCAAUGAUUGUGCACUCAUAUCUCUGUCCUUUCUGUCCAAAACGAUGUACACGUUCGAGUUUGAUUUUGCUGACUGGAAUCUGUAGCGCUUUAACCAGGAAAUGUUUCACCACACUCCCAGAUCUUCACCCUCAUUCUCUUUAAUACCAGACCUGAGCCCUAGGACCAUGCCUCAGAACUACCUGGCAUGAUGACUCCUUGCUGUCCCCAGUCCACCUGGCCGUGCUGCUGCUCCAGUUUCAACUGUUCUGCCUUCGGCUAUGGAACCCUGACCUGUUCACCGGACGUGCUUGUUGCACCCUCGACAACUACUAUGAUUAUUAUUAUUUGACCAUGCUGGUCAUUUAUGAACAUUUUAACAUCUUGACCAUGUUCUGUUAUAAUAUCCACCCGGCACAGCCAGAAGAGGACUGGCCACCCCUCAUAGCCUGGUUCCUCUCUAGGUUUCUUCCUAGGUUUUUGGCCUUUCUAGGGAGUUUUUCCUAGGGAGUUUUUCCUAGCCACCGUGCUUCUUUCACAUGCAUUGCUUGCUGUUUGGGGUUUUAGGCUGGGUUUCUGUACAGCACUUUGAGAUGUCAGCUGAUGUACGAAGGGCUAUAUAAAUAAAUUUGAUUAGAUUUUUGAUUUGAUGAUAUAACCCAGGAAGGGGAUGGUGGAGCGAUGGAAUUCACACUUUUCCGCUUUCACAAAAAGCUGGUUCUCCAGGAGGCUUUGGAAAUCUGUCGGAUGUGGAGCACGUGUUCUUGGGCGGAGCGGGAGAAGACGAGGAUGUCGUCGAGGUAGACGAAGACGAACCGGUUCAACAUGUCACGGAGAACAUCAUUAACCAGAGCCUGGAACACAGCUGGGGCGUUGGUAAGGCCAAAUGGCAUGACCAGAUACUCAUAGUGACUGCUGGCCAUGUUGAAGGCAGUCUUCCACUCAUCCCCUUCCUGUAUCUGCACCAGGUGGUAGGCAUUCCGUAGGUCCAGCUUGGAGAACGCGGUGGCCCCCUGGGUGCGGCCGAGGAGAUGAGUGGUAGCGGUUCUUCAACGUGAUGUUGUUGAGGCCCCGGUAGUCGAUGCACGAGUGCAGGGUUUUGUCCUUAUUCACCACAAAGAAGAACCCUGUGCCGGCGGGGGAGGCAGAAGGACGGAUGAACCCUGCAGCUAGGUCGUCCUCAAUGUAGGUCUCCACAGCCUUGGUCUCCGAGUAUAGUCGUCCUCGGGGCAGAGUGGUGCCUGAGAGAAGGUCAAUCCUGCAGUCAUAGGGUCGGUGCGGCAAAAACGAAGUGGCCUGGGCCUUACUGAACACCUCCCGGGCCUUACUGAACACCUUCCGGAGGUCCUGGUAUUCCGCGUGAAUGGCGGAGAUGUCCGGGCAACUUCCGAGCCCACAGGAAGACAUCCUGGGGCAGAUUGUGACUUCAGACAAUCGGCGUGGCAGAACGGGCUUCAAACCAUAAUGGCACCAGCAGUCCAGUUUAUGAUGGAUUGUGUCACUGGGGCCAAGAGAAUCCCAAUACCACGAGAACCUGAGGAGACCUAAUCAGCAUAUUUUGGAUUGCCUCGCUGUGGUUCCCUGACACUCAUAGCUUGAUGGGAGUGGUAUUGUGAGUGACCCGGCCUAUAGAGUGCUCGUCCAGCGCUCUAACAUCCAUGGGAUUGGAGAGGGGCUGAGUAGGGAUGCCAAGCUCGAACGUCAGGGUAGCUCCAAAAACCUAUUUUCGGACCCAGAUGAGUACCCGGAGAGAUUUUGACUGGUUCCCCACAUCAGGAUGGCAUGGAAAGGGGUGCGAGUAAGGGGAGAGCAAUAAGUUCUCCAUAAGGCCCACCAGAGUACUCGCCCCUUCUUGAUGAGCCAGGUUCUUUAAUGGCCAGGUUGCCAUGAAAUGUCCCGUAGCUCCACAAUAUAGACAGCUCUGGGUGUGGAUAUGGCAUAAGCACUCAGCCGGAGUCAAUCUAGCCCUGCCCAGGUGCUUGGACUCUGAAGGAGGCAAGUCAGCAGCCCUCGGUGAUUCCCGAGAGAACUCGGGUGACGUCGGGUUCACUCGGACAUGUAGAUUUCGGGGGUCUCCGGGAUUCGUCUGAGGCAAGGUGGGAAUCGAGGGCGAAUAAGGACAACUGCGCACAGAUUCCCUCUCCCUCCUACGUUCUUAAUGUUGCCCAUCAAUCCGGAUGGUCAAAGCUAUGAGGGAGUCAAGGUCCAUGGGCAGCUACCGGGCUGCAAGCUCAUCUUUGACCACCUCUGAUAAUCCGUGAAGAAACAUGUCAAACAAUGUUUCCGGGUUCCAGGCACUCAGCCACCAACGUGCGAAAAUUCACAACGUAGUCAAUGUGGAUGACCCGCUGCCCAGUGGGGAAUCCGCGGAAUUGCUCCAGCAAAGUCUCAAACGCCUGGUCAUGGCAUUCUGUCAGUGUAUGGAGUCCCUCCAUAAGACAUUGCAGUGACUCCUUGUGUCGUCCAAUGGUGGUUAUUUACUGGGAGACAGCAUUGUGAAGCCGGUCUGAGUCUGCUGGGUCGGUCAUGGCCAGUUCGUACUAUAACAUUUUAGAGAAGACCCAGAUGCAGACAGUGUCGAAGUAACAAACGUUUAUUACUAGAACAGGGGGCAGGCAGGCUCAGGGCAGGCAGAAUGGUCAAAACCGGGAAAACUAGAAAACAGGAACCAUAGAAAAGACAGGAGCAAGGGGAAAAGCGUUUCUAUGCUUGACGAACAAAGCGAACUGGCAACAGAAGAACAGAGAACAUAGGUAUAAAUACACAGGGGAUAAUGAGGAGAGAUGGAAGACACCUGGUGGGGGGUAGAGACAAGCACAAAGACAGGUGAAACUAAUCUGGGUGUGACAACAACCUGAAUAUAAAAUUGAUUAAAUGUAGAUGUUUUGUCACUGGCCAACACACAGCACCCCAUAACUUCAAAGUGGAAUUGUGUUUUUUGACAUUUUUACAAAUGAAUAAAAAAUAUAAAUCUGAAAUGUCAUGAGUCAAUAAUUAAUCAACCCCUUUCUUACGGCAAGCCUAAAUAAGUAAAAUGCAUAAAAAAGUACAAAUGUGCUUAACAAGUCACAUAAUAAGUUGCAUGGAUAUACACUGUGUGCAACAAUAGUGUUAAACAUGAUUUUUGAAUGACUACCUUAUCUCUGUACCUCCCACAUACAAUUAUAUGUAAGGUUCCUCAGUCAAGUAGUGAAUUUCAAACACA
rnacentral:lncRNA from 1 species